UGCCAGCAGCCGCGGUAAUACGGAGGGCGCAAGCGUUGCUCGGAAUCACUGGGCGUAAAGGGUGCGCAGGCGGUUUAUUAAGUCAGAUGUGAAAGCCCAGGGCUCAACCCUGGAACUGCAUCUGAAACUGGUGAACUUGAGUAUGAGAGAGGAAAGUGGAAUUCCUGGUGUAGAGGUGAAAUUCGUUGAUAUCAGGAGGAACAUCAGUGGCGAAGGCGACUUUCUGGCUCAUUACUGACGCUCAUGCACGAAAGUGUGGGUAGCAAACAGGAUUAGAUA
rnacentral:rRNA from 1 species